UCUGAUGGUGUCCAGAGUGAGCUUUGGCAGUCUCUAAGACUGGAGUGCAAUGGUGCAAUCUUGGCUCAUUGCAGCCUCCGCCUCCUGGAUUCAAGUGACUCUCCUGCUUCAGCCUCCUAAGUAGCUGGGACUACAGGUCCUGAUUCAGUAGGUUCGGGAGGAUCCUGGUUCUGCUCGUCCAAGCUGCCAGGGUCUGAUUUCCUUUGUGUGUGCGCUCCCCCACUAGGGGUUCUUUGGCUGGCAAGAGAAACUAGAGAAGUUUUGCUUCCAGGAGGGGAGAGGGACUUGAGUGAGAACGCCAUCCAGGCCAUCCCCAGGAAAGCUUUUCGGGGAGCUACGGACCUUAAAAAUUUUUACACAUACAUAAGGCCGCUGCAAGUCAGUGAACAUCGCUGAGCCUCGAUAUAUUGUUCUGGAAAAUGGGGAUACUAAGAUCUACUUCACAGGCAUGUUCUGAGGUUUAAAUGAAACAUGGAAAUAAAUACAGUUUGUCAAAUGCU
rnacentral:sRNA from 1 species